rnacentral:rRNA from 1 species
UACGUAGGUGGCAAGCGUUGUCCGGAAUUAUUGGGCGUAAAGCGCGCGCAGGCGGUUCUUUUAAGUCUGAUGUGAAAAGCCCACGGCUCAACCGUGGAGGGUCAUUGGAAACUGGAGAACUUGAGUACAGAAGAGGAAAGCGGAAUUCCACGUGUAGCGGUGAAAUGCGUAGAUAUCGGAAGGAACACCAGUGGCGAAAGCGGCUUCCUGGUCCAGCACCGACGUCAGGCACGGAAAGCGUGGGGAGCAAACAGG